rnacentral:rRNA from 1 species
CAUGAAGUUGGAAUUGCUAGUAAUCGCAGAUCAGAAUGCUGCGGUGAAUACGUUCCCGGGCCUUGUACACACCGCCCGUCACACCAUGGGAGCCGGUAAUACCCGAAGUCAGUAGUCUAACCGCAAGGGGGACGCUGCCGAAGGUAGGAUUGGCGACUGGGGUGAAGUCGUAACAAGGUACC